GAGGAUGGACUUCUGAAUACAGAUGGGUGAAGUGGAUUGGGUAAGAAGAGAGACACCAGGUCUAAUGUUGCCUAAAAGAGGGAGGAGAGAUGCCUAAGACCAGAACUAAGAGGAACUGAAUAUAAAAUAGUCCUGGAAACAGAUUGUUUGGUCUGAGUAUAUCAUUGAAGACCAUUUCAAAUCAGAUUUUUUCAGGGCAACUCCUCACUCCACGCUCCCAGUUAUGUCUCCAGAGGGUCUGGGAGUUAGGGGGAAAGGGCUGCUUGAAGACAUUCCAUAAGUAAUCCUGCAAUGGCCAAGAGGAGAGACAAUUUCACACCUGCCUCUUCAAGUUGACUUUGGACUCCCAUACCUUUUUCCAUUUGGAAUCGCGUCAAUCAGUUUUACAGCUGAAGGCAGUGACGUGCUGACAGAAGGUGAAUGCUACGCGAUCUGCUUUAUGAUUACAUUUGCUGUUUACUGCUCUAAAAGUUUGGAGAAAUUAUUUUCUUUUCAAACUGGGAAUGAAAGCUUCAUAAAUAUUAAUCUCAGUUAAUAAUAUUGUGGGAACCCUGGAUGCCAGAGGUAAGUAGCACUCAGUUCAUGACAGCUUGACAAGGGACCAGUUUUCUUAUUUGGGGAUGUGAGUCUGUCCUUUGAUGUUUAUAAACUGGUUCUUGGAACUUCCUUUCUUCUCAUGACACCAUGAACCAAAAUGUAGUGAUUUGCCUUUUUCCAUCUCAUCCAUGAGAUGUGUUGUCUUUUUUUUUUUUCUUUUUUUGGCCUUUUCUUUUCUUCCAAUGAUUUUCCUUCUGUUUCUUAAUUAUUUGGUUCCCACCUCUGUUUAUAGAUUAUAUUCCAUCCACUUUAGAGUCCAUACUAUAAAAAUACCCAAAGUUUCAUUUUUGUGUCUGAAGGACACAGUGUUAAAUCUCCAAAUACAAAUAUAUAUUACCUGAGUAGCUAUUGUUACCUGACACCAUUGUCAGAACAGAAUUCAUUUAUGUCUGUCCAAAUCAGCUUUCUUGAUGUUUUUAUAUCAUCACAGUUCUAAACAUAGAUGCAAAAUCUCCAUAUCUUCUAGGUUUAAAAUUUCCUAUUUUUCUUCAUCUAAUUCAAUCAAUUAUUGGUUCUUAUUUUUUGCUUAUAAUGCUCUUAAAACUUCUUUUUCCUAGAAUGGUUGAAGAAUUAUAUUUAAAAACUGGGAAUAUUAACAUCUUGAACUUAUGCUUAAAUGAUAUAAUGGCCAGCCUCCAAGAUGGCUCCCAAUGCUAUCCACAUCUUAUGUUCAUGUCCUUAUGUGAUUUAUUUCCACGUUUCAUUAGGCUAAGUUUGAGUGGUAAAUAGAACUCAGCAGAAUUGAUUGUGUGUCACUUCUGAGAUUCUGUCAUAAAAGACACUACAGUUUCCAUCCUGGCCAUGCCUUUUCUCAUGCCUUUUCCUCUUGAUUCAUUUCCACCAUGAGAUAAGAAACUCUACAGAGAAGUCCAUGUGGCAACUGGACUGAGACUACUGUCCAAAGCCAGUGAGAAACUGAGACCUACUACCGGCAGUCAAAUGAGUGAGUUUGGAAGUAAAUCCAUCAUCCUCACAUAAGUCUUUUGGUAACUAUAGCCCUAGUAGACAGCUUGUUCACAGCCUUAUUUGAGACUCACCUCAGAGACACGUAGCUAAGCUUUUUCCAAAUUCCUGACCUGUAGAAACUGUGUGAGAUAAUAAAUGUUGGCUUAAGCUAAGUUUUGGGGUUAAAUUGUUAUGUAUCAAUAGAUAACUAAUAAAUGACUUUCUAAUAUAAAAAUAAUAUUUAUAUGAUUCAUUGUCUUGAAACAAUCAAAGAAGGUAGAGGGGUCCAGCAGAACUCUGCUGAAGUCAUACAGUCUUGAGGAGAAGAGUCAGCCCCCUGAAUGGGGAGAGGGGUCAGUGGCCCUGGCAUGGACAAUCUCUACUCUUGAGACGCUAUCAGAAAACAUAAAGGAUUAGAGUCAGAAGAGAUGUUAAGAGUUAUCUAAGUUUACCCAAAGCAACCAUCUCCCCUGUAGCCUUUUGAAAAGUGACUGAAAGGAUCUGUAAGGAAGAGAUUUACCUAGGAUUUUUGAAAGUUAUGUGGUAGCUGUGGGAGGAUUCAAGUAGCAGCUCAAGCUCUGAUGAGAAAGACGAAGUAGUUGCUUCUUUACCUUUUAAUCACAAUUAUAAAACAUUAACUGACAACCUAUACAUAUCUAGAUGAUAGAUCUGGCAAAGCUACUAGCACAUUGUGUAGAAUAGCUGGUGUACAGAAUGUUUUUCUUCUAAAACAAAGUAUUCUUGCAGUGUUUCAUGUUCAAGAAUAUAUUCAUCAAACUCCAAGAGUUUUGGCCAGACUUCAGAUAACAGCCAAUGAGUCACUUUAAAGGAUGUCAAUGGAAAGUCCCAGGAGACCAUCUUAGGUAAGAUUUUCAUUUGAAGUUAAAAGUACACAGAAAAUUAAAAACUAGCAAUUUACUAAUCUAAAAUAUUGCCUUAUUUUAGAGUAUAAUAGCACUGAUAAUAUUCACAGGUUUACUUCAUUUUCUGCAAGAAGCACAUACGUACCAUAACAUAUACUUGCUAGUAGAAGUAAAAUUUGUUAUUCUAUAAUAUAAGAGUAUGUGGAACUAUAUGUCUCUUUGGAGAUGGAAAUAUAGAUCAAUUCAGCCCAAAUUAUUUUUCUUGUGUCUGUAAUUUGAGCUGAUAAAUUAAAGGAUACAUACCCUAAACCAGUGAUUCUCAAAGUUUGUUCUGUGUAUCAAGUGUAUAAGCAGCCCUUGAAACUUGUUACAAAUGCAAAUUUAUGGGCCCACCCCAGAUCUCCUGAAUUAGAAACUCACAGGAUCUGAGCCAGCAAUCUAGGUUUCAGCCAGCUUUCCAAAUGAUUCUGAUCCAUACUCAAGAAAGAGAAACAUUGUCCUAAGCCAACACUGGGAAAAGGGUCCCACUAAUAAAGGUGGCAAUUCUCACACUUUUCAAAUCUUGAAUGUUGAAGAAUCUUCCCACAAAACUCAAAUUCUUUAAAAUACCCAAAGCAAAGAUUAUAACAGAUUUUUU